ACCCUUAUAGUUUAAGUAAAAUAUGAUAGUGAAAAUAUCAAGAUAUAGGAAUUAUGGGUA
rnacentral:tRNA from 1 species